rnacentral:lncRNA from 1 species
CCAAUGAGACCUAAAAUCUUAACAUCCUAAUUUUAAAUAUUCCUAGUCAAUAGAACAUUGAGUAGGGGAUCAAUGUUUCUGGUAAGACUAGUACAUCCUAUGUAUGCUCGGUUAAGAGGGUAAUUAAUCUCACAAUUACUUGUGUAUGACACUAAUAUAAAGAUGUAAGUGAUCAUUAGAGAAUGAAUUCACUGAAUUGAUCCAAUUAAAGAACAUCUGAUGGAGUCUUAUCUACAUGUCAACAGAUUUUUCUUAUAGUGGGAAUUGUGCAUGUAAAUCUUUUGACAUGAGACUGCCAUAAAACCUUAUAAGCAUGAAUCCAUAUUUUGGAUCAUACUCAUUCGUGAUUUAAUUAUGUACGGGGUGUUCUGGAUAUGAUGGAUUGCUUAUGAAGGUUGUGAGUAGGUCAAUAUGGAAACAAUCACUCCUAGUAAGAGGAGAUCGCAUCCUAUCUGCUUCAAUCAAAUAAUGAUUCAGGAAGACUUUGAUCAAAGCAUUAUGAAAAAUUAGAAAUAGUUUCUAAUGUUUCAUAAAUCGAAUCAUUAUUAUUCGAUCAAGAGAAAUGUGAAUAUAAAAUUAGGUUUGACAUUUUUUCGGGCCCAGACUUAUAUUCGNNN